GGAGGUUACUGCUAUCGGUGUUCGCCUCCCCCAUGCGAGUCAUAUGUUCUUCGUGAACAUGGCGUACUGCUCAGUAACACGUGGAUAACCUGCCCUUGGGACCGGCUUACCCCCGGGAAACUGGGGAUAAUUCCGGAUACCGCAUAUAUGCUGGAAUGCUUUAUGCGUGAAAUGGAUUCCUCUGCCCAAGGAUGGGUCUGCGGCCUAUCAGGUAGUAGGGGGUGUAAUGUACCUACUACCCUACAACGGGUACGGGUUGUGAAAGCAAAAGCCCGGAAAUGGAUUCUGAAACAUGAAUCCAGGCCCUACGGGGCGCAGCAGGCGCAAAAACUUUACAAUGCGGGAAACCGUGAUAAGGGGACACCGAGUGCCGGCAACUUUUGUUGGCUGUCCAGGUGUGUAAACUACACCUGUUAGCAAGGGCCGGGCAAAACCGGUGC
rnacentral:rRNA from 1 species